GACGAACGCUGGCGGCGUGCUUAACACAUGCAAGUCGAACGGAAAGGCCCUGAGGGUGUGGGGUGCUCGAGUGGCGAAAGGGUGAGUAAGACGUGAGUAACGUGCUCUUGACUUUGGGGUAAGUUCAGGAAACGGGGGCUAAUACAGGAUAGGAGCUCAUGCUGCAUGGUGGGGGUGGGAAAGUUGCGGCGGUCGGGGAUGGAUUGGCGGGUGUUGAGCUUGUUGGGGGGGUAGUGGCUUACCAAGGCGGUGAUCGGUAGCCGGCCUGAGUGGGUGAUUGGCCACAUUGGAACUGAGACAGCGUCCAGACUCCUACGGGAGGCAGCAGUCGGGAAUAUUAGGCAAUGGUCGCAAGCCUGAUCCAGCCAUACGGCGUCGGUGACGAAGACGCUCGGUUUGGAAAGCCCUUUUGCUGGGAGAGAACCGCAGCCGGUUAAUACGCCGCGGUACUGACGGUACCCAGAGAAUAAGCACCGGCUAACUUCGUG
rnacentral:rRNA from 1 species